rnacentral:rRNA from 1 species
GACGAACGCUGGCGGCGUGCCUAAUACAUGCAAGUCGAGCGCCCGUGGCAACACGGGAGCGGCAGACGGGAGAGUAACACGUGGGAACGUACCCUUUGGUUCGGAACAACCCAGGGAAACUUGGGCUAAUACCGGAUAAGCCCUUACGGGGAAAGAUUCAUCGCCGAAGGAUCGGCCCGCGUCUGAUUAGCUAGUUGGUGGGGUAACGGCCCACCAAGGCGACGAUCAGUAGCUGGUCUGAGAGGAUGAUCAGCCUCACUGGGACUGAGACACGGCCCAGACUCCUACGGGAGGCAGCAGUGGGGAAUAUUGGACAAUGGGCGCAAGCCUGAUCCAGCCAUGCCGCGUGGGUGAUGAAGGCCCUAGGGUUGUAAAGCCCUUUCGGCGGGGAAGAUAAUGACGGUACCCGCAGAAGAAGCCCCGGCUAACUUCGUGCCAGCCGCCGCGGUAAAAC